rnacentral:ribozyme from 1 species
UGUGUAAUUAAAGAAAAAUGAAAAAAGGGAACGACAGAGAGAGAGAAAGAGAGAGUCAGAAUCAAAAAUUUGUAUACUUAUUAAAAAAAAUACGUUCUUCCUUUACCGCAUUGCUGUGGUUUUUUAUUUU